rnacentral:miRNA from 1 species
UAAAUUUAAAAUUAUUUAAAAUAUAUUCAAUAUUUUGAUUAAUUUAAUUAUUUUUAGCCGACUAAGAUGAUAAUUAAAAUUAAUAUAUAUUA